rnacentral:rRNA from 1 species
GAAGCUGGAUUCGCUAGUAAUCGCGCAUCAGCCAUGGCGCGGUGAAUACGUUCCCGGGCCUUGUACACACCGCCCGUCAAGCCAUGGAAGCCGGGGGCGCUUGAAGUGCGUUGCCGCAAGGCGCGCCCUAGAGCGAAACCGGUGACUGGGGCUAAGUCGUAACAAGGUACC